GACAUAGGUCGCAAACGUUAUCCGGAAUUAUUGGGCGUAAAGGAUGCGUAGAUGGUUCAGUAAGUUACUGGUGGGAAAUCGAGGCUCAACCUCGUGGAAGUCAGUAAUACUGUUGAACUUGAGUGCAGGAGAGGUUAACGGAACUUUAUGUGGAGCGGUAAAAUGCGUAGAUAUAUAAAAAGAACAUCAAUAUGGCGAAGGCAGUUAACUAUUCUGUUACUGACAUUGAGGCAUGAAAAGCGUGGGGGAGCAAAACGG
rnacentral:rRNA from 1 species